CAAAAUAUUAACCUAGAAGUGUUACAACGGUAACAUGCGAAGUUUGAGGCGCAUUAACCAGAAGGGAGCACAAUCAAGGCCGUUGUUGACCACUAAUCCUACGGCUGAAUUUCACAUGGGAAGGACCGUUGCAUACUGAAGUACCGUCAGCUCCUGCUUCAAAAGGGGUGCCUUUUUCAGUCAUCAGAAUUCCAGUAUUUUUCACAGAGAGAGGGAGAGAGGGAAUUGAAGAAUAUCCUUCCGGAGAGGCAAAGAAGAAAGGAUUUAAACAAGAUUUCCAAGGUUUUGUAAUGGCUUCAAGACUGAUGAAUCAACAGGAAAACAGAGGUAUUUUAAACAUAAUUGGAGGAUACGCAUAUAAUUAUCCAAAACCUCUCACACAUUAAUUUUUUCUUGCCUAAUAUAUGAUCUGAUUCUUUGUAUUUCUGGGCUUCUGAUAUUUUGGGAUUUUAGUUGUUUAUCUUGAUUUGUAAUUUCUUGAUCUUUGAUUGUAUUGUUAUAUAUUUAUGGUAUAAAAAUAAAAUGUGGAAGAAAUAAUCAAAUUAGAUAAAGUGUCAAAGUGGUGGGAAAUGUGUCAUUUGUGUGGGACGUCGGGGGUUCGAAUCACUCCCCACAUAGAUAUUAAAAUAUUUUGAUUGGGACCUUGGGCUCUUGGAUUUUCUAGACUAAAAUAAAUAUUUUUUUAUUAUUAUUUAAUGGGCAAAACUAACCAGUAUUUUCUGACUGUUUAUUUUUAUAACAAUCUACUAACAGUCAUUAAAAUAUCCACUACUCAGUCAUUAAAAUUUUGAAUUAAUCUUUGAUCAUGGUGGAGACUGUUACUUCUAUCCUGCCUAUAUAAACCCAUAUCUCAUUUUGGGAAAAAUACACAAAAAAAGAAAAUAGAAAAAUCCUCUUGUAUCAAUCCUUCAUUUUCAUCUUCUGAUUUUCUUAUACUCGAAUUUUUACAUAUAUUCUGGAGUAAACUGAGAGUUCUGGAAAAAUCAUUCGUGAUUGCUGCACAAGUGGUUUACGAUCGUUGUAUCCUGAGAGUGAUUGUCCACGGAGGUCACAGCAAUUAUCGACGGGCAAUUUCACUUUAAGACAUCUUGCUAUCACGAGACUCGAUCAAACGAUAAGUCUUAUAUUUCUGCAUUUUAUUGUUCUGAACAUUAUUGCAACUAGUUAUUAUUCCAACAAUCUAAAGUGAAAUUAUCUUUAUAAUUAGUUAUCAUGUUUGUCAUAGAUAUAUUUGUUCCUAAGUAUUUUGAAAAGUCUGAGUUAUUUGAUGGAAAGAAUUUUAAGAGAUGGCAAAUGAAACUGCGAUUUUAUUUGACAACACUUAAAGUCGUUGAUGCUAUUGAAUCAGAUAAACCCGUUGUUGCAAUUGUUGAUAAUCCUACUGAUAAGAAAACAGUGGAUUUAGCUAAUUGGGAACAUAAGAAUUAUAUGUGCAGGAAUUAUAUUCUGAAUUGUUUGACGUUAAAUCUAUAUGAUGUUUACUACUCGUGUAAAUCUGUAAAAAAGUUAUGGAAUUCAUUAGAAAUAUAUUACAGAAGAUGCUGGAACCAAGAAAUUUGUUGUGAAAAAGUUUUUAGAUUUUAAAAUGAAUUAUGUUAAAACUGUGGUAAGUCAAGUUGAAGAAUUGCAGAUUAUAAUUCACGAAAUUAUUGCUGAAGGAUAUAAAAUUUGAGAGGGCUUUCAAGUGUCGCUAUAAUUGAAAAAUUGCCACCUUCUUGGCAAAGAGUAUAAAAAUAGUUUGAAGUAUAAGAGAAAAGAAAUGUUUUUAGAGGAUCUGAUUAUUAGAAUUAGAAUUGAGGAGGACAAUAGAAUGGCAGAACGUAAAGAAAGGCCAGACUUUGAUACCAAGGCUAAUCUUACUGAAGGAAGUUCUGGAAGUAAGAAACCAGUUGGAAAUUUUAUAAGGGCUCAGAAUUUUAAAGGCAGAAACAAGGGAAAAUAAUUUGAAGGAAAGAACAAUCGGUCUAAGCCACAGUUUAAGAAUAAAAUUUGUGGUGACUAUUUUGUUUGUAGUAAACCAGGUCACCUUGCAAAGGAUUGCAGAAAUAGGAAAGGAAAAGCUGUGAAGCAUCAGGCACAUGUGGUAGAGGAUGGGAAUUUCUCUGCUAUGGUGACAGAAGUGAAUCUAGUAAGCAACAUGACAGACUGGUGGGUAGAUUCUGGAGCUACCAAGCAUAUUUGCUGCACGAGAGGUGCAUUUUCUUCAUUCACUCCCGCUAGUGAUGGAGAAUGUCUGUUCAUGGGCAAUGCUUCCUCCUCCAAAAUCGAGGGGAAAGGAACUGUAACGCUUAGAUUUACUUCUGGAAAUAUCCUUAAUUUGAAGGAUGUCCUUUAUGUACCUGAUAUUAGGAAAAAUCUAGUAUCUGGAUCUAUCUUAGUAAAAAAGGGUUUUAAGAUUGUAUUUGAAAGUGGUCAAGUUGUACUGUCUAAGGGUGGUUCCUUUGUUAGGAAAGGGUAUGCAGAUGAUAGUCUGUUUAAACUCAAUGUCUCUGUGAUUAACAAUAAAGCAUCUAGCUCUUCCGUUUACUUGUUGGAUUCUUAUGAUUUG
rnacentral:lncRNA from 1 species